rnacentral:lncRNA from 1 species
GGGAAAGCUAGCUAUAAAUUAACUGGAGUAUCUAUUAAUUUAGAACAGAUACUCUAAAGUCUAUAGUAUUAUACUCAUCAAAACACGCAACACAUCCCCAAUAAUUGUUCUAGACGAAGAGAUAAGGUGUCGAACAAAGGGAGAUGUCGUGUUUGUAAAGCAUCACUAAAGUUAAAAACGCAAUCGAUUACAUUGAAUACAAACCAUUUCUUUGUCCUCUCGUCAGAUGCAUAAGAACCAAUUAUUCGAGUUACGAAGUGGUAGUCGGGCACCAGCACGUAUCAUAUAUGGCAAAGAGCUAGCCACAGCCUGAAUCACUAAUUAAUACUAUUAUGAAGAGUACUAAAUAUACAAUCAUGGAUCCAUAUUAGUCACGAUUAUGUGUUAUAUAUUUAUAUAUUUUUGAAUGACAAUAAGGUUUGGGUUUUAAAUUCCGUGAUUUUUUUGUAGAACAAGAGCAUGC